UCAGGAUGAACGCUGGCGGCACGCCUAACACAUGCAAGUCGAACGGAGUUUAUGGGAGCUUGCUCCUAUAAACUUAGUGGCGGACGGGUGAGUAACACGUGAGCAACCUGCCUUUCAGAGAGGAAUAGCUUCUGGAAACGGAUGGUAAUACCUCAUAACAUAUUGAUACGGCAUCGUAUUGAUAUCAAAGAUUUAUCGCUGAAAGAUGGGCUCGCGUCUGAUUAGCUAGUUGGUGAGGUAACGGCUCACCAAGGCAACGAUCAGUAGCCGGACUGAGAGGUUGAACGGCCACAUUGGGACUGAGACACGGCCCAGACUCCUACGGGAGGCAGCAGUGGGGAAUAUUGCACAAUGGGCGCAAGCCUGAAUGCAGCGAUGCUGCGUGAGGGAAGAAGGUUUUCGGAUUGUAAACCUCUGUCAUCGGGGACGAAAAUGACGGUACCCGAGAAGGAAGCUCCGGCUAACUACGUGCCAGCCGCGGC
rnacentral:rRNA from 1 species